rnacentral:tmRNA from 1 species
GGGCUGCUAGGUUUCUACAUGUGAUUGAUUACUAUAGGUUAUAAAAUAUACAAAUAGGCUUAUAUAUUUAAGCUUAAAUAUAAAUCCAAAACAUCAAAUUAUUCAUUUCUCUUUAAAUAAAGUUUUAGCUUAGUUUAUAAGUUGACUAAUAUUAUAGAGUGUCAAAUAAGAAAUCUUAAUAUUUAUUUGAUUAAUAAAUUAGAGAUGCUCUUAAGUAUUUUUCUUAAGAAAAGCUUAUAUUUUUUAAUAUACUUUAUUUAUUUUCUUAUUAUAAUAUUUCAAAUAAAUAUUAUAAUAAGCUUAUAGAAUUAAUUAUCAUGGACGUGGGUUCAAAUCCCACCAGCUCCA